rnacentral:tRNA from 2 species
AUUAUUUUGGCAGAGUAGUGUAAUGAAUUUAGAAUUCAUAAAUAUAAAUUUAAUUUAUAAAUAAUA